rnacentral:rRNA from 1 species
AGAGUUUGAUCCUGGCUCAGGACGAACGCUGGCGGCGUGCUUAACACAUGCAAGUCGAACGAUGAACCACUUCGGUGGGGAUUAGUGGCGAACGGGUGAGUAACACGUGGGCAAUCUGCCCUGCACUCUGGGACAAGCCCUGGAAACGGGGUCUAAUACCGGAUACUGAACCUUGCAGGCAUCUGUGAGGGUCGAAAGCUCCGGCGGUGCAGGAUGAGCCCGCGGCCUAUCAGCUAGUUGGUGAGGUAAUGGCUCACCAAGGCGACGACGGGUAGCCGGCCUGAGAGGGCGACCGGCCACACUGGGACUGAGACACGGCCCAGACUCCUACGGGAGGCAGCAGUGGGGAAUAUUGCACAAUGGGCGAAAGCCUGAUGCAGCGACGCCGCGUGAGGGAUGACGGCCUUCGGGUUGUAAACCUCUUUCAGCAGGGAAGAAGCGAAAGUGACGGUACCUGCAGAAGAAGCGCCGGCUAACUACGUGCCAGCAGCCGCGGUAAUACGUAGGGCGCAAGCGUUGUCCGGAAUUAUUGGGCGUAAAGAGCUCGUAGGCGGCUUGUCGCGUCGGUUGUGAAAGCCCGGGGCUUAACCCCGGGUCUGCAGUCGAUACGGGCAGGCUAGAGUUCGGUAGGGGAGAUCGGAAUUCCUGGUGUAGCGGUGAAAUGCGCAGAUAUCAGGAGGAACACCGGUGGCGAAGGCGGAUCUCUGGGCCGAUACUGACGCUGAGGAGCGAAAGCGUGGGGAGCGAACAGGAUUAGAUACCCUGGUAGUCCACGCCGUAAACGGUGGGCACUAGGUGUGGGCAACAUUCCACGUUGUCCGUGCCGCAGCUAACGCAUUAAGUGCCCCGCCUGGGGAGUACGGCCGCAAGGCUAA